rnacentral:lncRNA from 1 species
CUCGCUGCAACCUCCGCCUCCCGGGUUCAAGUGAUUCUCCUGCCUCAGCCUCCUGAGUAGCUGGGAUUACAGGCACCCGCCACCACGCCCAUCUGAGUUUUGCAUUUUUAGUAGACAUGGGGUUUCACCAUGUUGGCCAGGCUGGUCUUGAACUCCUGACUUCAUGUGAUCCACCCACCUUGGCCUCCCAAAGUGCUGGGAUUUACAGGCAUGAGCCACUGCGCCCAGCCAAGCUUUUUCACCAUUCCAAUUUCCUUCAAAUGCUGAACAGCCGUGGAAUGGUUGACAUUGAGUUCUUAGGCAACUUCUCAUGUAGUUGUAAGAGGAUCAGCUUCUAAUAUUGCUCUCAAUUGGUCAUUGUCAACUUCCAGUGGCUGGCCACUACUUCUCUUCAAGGCUCUUGUCUCCUUUGCAAAACUUCUUGAACCACCACUGCACUGUACAUUCGUUAGCAGUUCCUGGGCCAAAUGUGUUUAUAUCGUGAGUUGUCUCUGCUGCUUUACGACCCAUUGGGAACUCAAGUAAGAAAAUCUCAGCCGGGUGCGGUGGCUCACGCCUGUAAUCCCAGCACUUUGGGAGGCUGAAGUAGGCGGAUCACCUGAGGUCAGGAGUUU